UGGCUCUGUUAUUUUAAGAGUAGUGGAGAGAAGGUGUUUGGUUCAGUAAUGCUGCCA
rnacentral:snoRNA from 1 species